rnacentral:rRNA from 1 species
CCUACGGGAGGCUGCAGUAAGGAAUAUUGGUCAAUGGACGAAAGUCUGAACCAGCCAUCCCGCGUGCAGGAUGAAAGCCCUAUGGGUUGUAAACUGCUUUUAGCAGAGAAGAAAAGCUUUCAUUAAUGAGAGUCUGACGGUAUCUGCAGAAUAAGCACCGGCUAACUCCGUGCCAGCAGCCGCGGUAAUACGGAGGGUGCGGGAGUUAUCCGGAAUUACGGGUGCGAAGGGGGAGUAAGGAGGAGUUUGUGAAAUCGUGUCGCUUAACGUUAAAAUUGCCAAUGAUACUGGGACUCUUGAAUUGGGUUGAGGUUAGCGGAAUGUGACAUGUAGCGGUGAAAUGCAUAGAUAUGUCAUGGAACACCAAUUGCGAAGGCAGCUAACUGGGCCUUGAUUGACGCUGAGGCACGAAAGCGUGGGUAGCGAACAGGAUUAGAUACCCCAGUAGUC